UGGAUAGUUCAGUUGGUUAGAGCAGGGCGCUGAGAAUGCCAAGGUUGCAGGUUUGAUCCCCGUACGGGACAG